GGAUCCUAGCGUUAUCCGAAUUUAUUGUUUUUAAAGGGAGCGUAGGUUGACAUAUAAGUCAGCUGUGAAAGUUUACUGUGCUCAACCGCGAAAUCGCAGUUGAUACUGUAUGUCUUGAUUGUACAAGAGGUGGGCGGAAUUCGUGCUGUAGCGGUGAAAUGCUUAGAUAUCACGAAGAAACUCCAAUUGCGAAGGCAGCUCACUGGGGUACAACUGACACUGAGGCUCGAAAGUGUGGGUAUCAAACAGGAUUAGAUACCCUGGUAGUCCACACAGUAAACGAUGAAUACUCGCUGUUUGCGAUAUACAGUAAGCGGCCAAGCGAAAGCAUUAAGUAUUCCACCUGGGGAGUACGCCGGCAACGGUGAAACUCAAAGGAAUUGACGGGGGCCCGCACAAGCGGAGGAACAUGUGGUUUAAUUCGAUGAUACGCGAGGAACCUUACCCGGGCUUGAAUUGCAGAGGAACAUAGUUGAAAGAUUAUGGCCGCAAGGUCUCUGUGAAGGUGCUGCAUGGUUGUCGUCAGCUCGUGCCGUGAGGUGUCGGCUUAAGUGCCAUAACGAGCGCAACCCUUAUCAUUAGUUACUAACAGGUCAUGCUGAGGACUCUAGUGAGACUGCCGUCGUAAGAUGUGAGGAAGGUGGGGAUGACGUCAAAUCAGCACGGCCCUUACGUCCGGGGCUACACACGUGUUACAAUGGGGGGUACAGAGGGCAGCUACCGGGCGACCGGAUGCCAAUACCAAAAACCUCUCUCAGUUCGGAUCGAAGUCUGCAACCCGACUUCGUGAAGCUGGAUUCGCUAGUAAUCGCGCAUCAACCACGGCGCGGAGAAUACGUUCCCGGGCCU
rnacentral:rRNA from 1 species